AAUCAUGUAAUCUAGGAGGAAAGUUGAAAUUGUAUUCUUGAAAUUUUGUAAGCUCAUUUAUUCUAUUCUUUUUUGAGAAUGAGGAAAGAGAUUGACAAUUAACCCAUUUGCUACCACGACACCCAAAUGAGGAUUUGAAUUUUUUUUAUCACUUGCAAUAGGAUUAUAUUAAAUAAAAUGUUAAAUAAAAAUAUCAAAAAUAAACAUUUGGCAGUUAAUGGGUUAAACUAGCAUUAUAUUUCUUAUUUUGAAAUUUAAUUGUAAUAGUAAACUGUAUUUGUUAUUGAUAUCAUGAUGAUCUGUAUUUAUAUUGGAAAUGUGCAUUUUUCUAUUUCUUAACUUCAGAGAAGAUUGUAUAUUGGUGAAAUUAAGUAAUAAUUGAUAGAAAUUUAUAAAUAUGCAGAUUAUGUUGAACCUAAUAACGCAUAAAAAGAAUACUAGAAACGUAUAUGCAUAAAUGAAUAUGCAUAGAGAAGACUGCAAAAGUGGGAGAGAUCAUUCAUGUAUCGCGUGUACGGUGUGAAAUAUCAUUAAGAUGAAUCUAUCUUGAAUUACAAUCAACCAGCAGUACCAAAUUUCAGUUACAGAUUAAUCGUCUAUAAUUUAUAGAUAGGAAUUCCAACAAUUGAAAUAGUUAAAUACAUUGAGCCGCCUUAAAAAUUAUUAGCACUUUGACUGAGGAUUUAAAUUCUCAAACAUAGUUCUAUUGGUGAUAUAUUAGGAAUAAAAAUGGAACUUGAAAUUGCAAGAUUCAAAGAUUCCACGAAAUGGGUGGUCAUAACAUUUAACAAAUCUUACUUAAUAUUUAUUUAUAUAAGUAUUUCAUACUUGUAUUAAAUUUUAAAUUAAAAUGUAGUUUAAAAUUAACAACAGGUGAACCAUUUUUAGUAUUAUUGGUGUAACUAGCUAGAGGCUAGGGUGGAUAUUACCCUCCAAAAAAUGUGCACUGGUCUGCCAUUUGAAUUUU